AAUGGGUAUGGAAUCUAUUCAAAUAAAGCAACAUGAUUUUCUAGAAACUCAUGAGACAGCAUUUCAAAAUAACUUUCUGAUUGUGUUUCUUAAAUGAAAUUGUAUAGAAAAGGUUGUUCAUUCAUCAUUAUUAUUAAAAUAUCACACAUAAAUGAAGCAGAUUGGUAUUGGUGUCUUUUGAUUUACUUUGGAAACGAUCUAUUCCUUCACCCCACAGUCUAUUUUUGUUACUUAAUAGAGAAAUAUUUGGAUGGCUGCAAGUGUUCAAGUAGUGUCUAACACUAAAAAGUAAGUUAACAUUUCUUCCCAAUAUGCCUAAGCCUAAUGUAUUUAUUUGUUCAGUGUUUGAAAAAUACAUUACCAUUUCCCUUAGCAGGAAAGAAGACUAAGUGUCCUUCCAUUCUUCAAAGCAAGAAUGAGGCACGGAGCAUAUGACAAGACACACAUGCAUGCGUACACACACACACAUGCGUACACACACACACACACACACACACACACACCCUUAGUAGGAAAUGGAUCUCCUUAGAAAUCUAAGUGAAAACGACCCAGGCUCCAGUCUUAGGUAAACUGGAAAGGUACCAACUAUGUUCCUUCAGCAGGAGCUUAAACCUAAUUGUGCAAGUGGUAUGAAGCUGAUUUCAGAAAAGGGGAGAAAAAUCUCAUGAAACCAGAGGCUUGAAAUGUAUUCCUGGUGAAGCCCACAGCAGUACCUCCUCCCGUGGGAUGAUAGGGAUGAUUUAUGAAGCUGAAGUCAUUUCUUGUGAUUGUGCUGCAGGGAGAUUGGUUUCACAUGAUCUGUGAAGCCAGGCUGGGCGAGCCGGAGAAGAGCCCACAUGUUCAACCGAGGCUGGGCCUGCCUCUUCAAGGGGAUUCCAGAGCCCUGGGGAGAUGGAGGGGGGAGAGGGGGAAGGUGGGAGGGGCUGCACUGUGAUCCGUGCGGCCCUGCCCCCACCCCAGCUCAUUAGGUGGACACACCGCUCUCUCAUUUUCAUUCUCCUCUUAAAAAGUAUUACUAGUGGUGGUGUGUGGGAGUGGGGGCUCAUUGUAAAUGCCCAGCAGGAUAGUAGCGAGGCUGAGAUUAAUUCCCCAUGGAUUUAUGGGGGGGCUGAGAUUAAUCCCCCAUGGAUUUAUGGGGUUCCUCUCACCCACCAUGACUUGCACGAUUUCAAAGGUGCUUAUGCUGCUGGUUUUAUGGCUGGUCACUGACUUUAUUCUGGCAUAUGGCGAUUGGCGCCGUGACACGGAGUGAACAUUUUAUACCUGAAUUAAAGUGGAUAUUUGACAGUUUCUGUCAGAAAGUUCAGAGCAAAGAAUUUGUGGGACAAGAUUUAUUGCAUAUUUUAUAUGGAACACAUCUGUUUCUUUGCUAGCUUUGUUCAUUCCCUUAAAAAAUUUAAAGAAGUUUCCUAAAGAAACAUAAUGAUGGACAGAAAAAAAAAUCCCAAGAAGAAGAAAAAUAUAGCCAAAAAAUGAGUAUUUAGGGCCUACCUUUUUUUUUUCCUUUAAAAAAGACUUCUUAUUUUGGAGAGGAAAAUGACUCAUAGUCAUGUAUAAAAGCUCAGUGAAACAAUGCUGCUAUUAUUGGCAAUUAUUUUUGGUUGGUUUAAUUCCAUUCUUGUAAUGAGGCUAAAAAUUGAAGUGCAUAAUCUACAAUUUUCUACAUACUUGCCUUUGACGCACUUUGAAAGAUUUUUGCCAUACCAAAUGGUGGAAUAAAUGAGUCCAACCACAUCACUGUCAAGCACAAACCUACAGACAUUUAAACCUUUAAAAGAGAUAUGUCUAAGGAUAGACACAGACAACCUCUAGGCCAGAUCCAUCAACCCAAUGGGGAGUAUGCAAAUGUCAACCCAAAGUGAUGGGCUAAGCCAAAUAUGAAGGAUGAACAUAAAACUAAAUGCCACGUGAGGAGCAUAUGUAAGCUUCUUCUAAUCUAAAGACUCUCUUCCUACAGGGGUUAAGUGAAUGUGGUAACAGAUUCCCCAUCCCGCCAACGUGAUGGGGAGCGGACCUCUGCAUCAAUUAACAGAACACUUUGUCUCUGAAUAAAUUCACUGUAAAACUGAAAAAAAAAAACACAUGCCUGGAAAAUCUUGAAAAAUUAUUUUUUACUUAGGCAAUACAUAGAUUACUAAACAGAUGAAGGAAACUUUGAGAGCUCUCCCUCUGCCUCUCAUCCUCCCGCUCACUCAACAUACAUAGUCAUGGCCCAAAACCUGUUGCCAGUCUGGGACACACCUCUCACGACUCCCCAGCCCUGUGCAAAGGCGCAGGGAAACCCGGGAGCACACUUGUAUUAUCUUGGUCUUUUGACUUUCUAUGUCAUGCCUAUUAUGUACGUUUCAUUGGAGAAGAGUCAAAUACUUUCCUCAUGUCUUCUGCUUGUACAAUCACUUUAAAGGUGGCCCUUCCUUUCCCUAAGAUAAGGAAGAUGAUAUUCAUUUUCUUAUAAUAUUGCUUAUUAUUUGAUUUUUGGCCUUUGUUGCUAUUCAUUUGGGUCAUUAAUCACACAGAAACUAACCUCCACUUCUUUUUUAAAAUAUGAGUAAGUAAUGCUCACACAUCACAAUUUUCUAAAAGACAAU